GAUUUUAUGACACUGCGAGCAUCUAUUUUGGAAAAGUCAAUGCAAAUGAAUCUUCAGAGAAUCUGAAAGGAGUGCUAAACUGGUUGGCAUAUACUCAGAAAAUGGAGGACCCUAUAUCAAGAUCAUACAGCCAGCGGAAGAGACGAUUUAGAAAGUGAUUUUUCAUCUUAACCAAUGAUGUAGCAUCAUCAAUUUUCCCAGACAGCCUUCAGGUCCCCAGGGCUUCAGGAUGGCACCUAAGAGAUAAUGUGACAGAGGACUUGGUCCAACGCUGUCUAAUUUUUAGGAACAACUCCAUGGGAAUACACUGUCUUUGUGAGGUCAGUUUGCUGUUGCCAUAACAAAGGUAGAUUAACAAAUAAUCAGUGGGAUAGAAUAGGGAGUGCUGAAAUACUAGAAGUUAUGUGGCAUAAAAUAUUGCAGGUUUUACAUGUAGAAG
rnacentral:lncRNA from 1 species